rnacentral:rRNA from 1 species
AUUGAACGCUGGCGGCAGGCCUAACACAUGCAAGUCGAACGAGUGGCGGACGGGUGAGUAAUGUCUGGGAAACUUCCUGAUGGAGGGGGAUAACUACUGGAAACGGUAGCUAAUACCGCAUACCAUCGGAUGUGCCCAGAGGGGAUUAGCUAGUCGGUGGGGUAAAGGCUCACCUAGGCGCCGAUCCCUAGCUGGUCUGAGAGGAUGACCAGCAACCCUGGAACUGUGACACGGUCCAGACUCCUACGGAGGGAAGCAGUGGGAAAUAUUGGACAAGGGGCGCAAUCUUGAUGCAGCCAUGCCGGGGGUAUGAAGAAGGCCUUCGGGUGGUAAAGUACUUUCAGCGGGGAGGCGUUACCCGCAGAAGAAGCACCGGCUAACUCCGUGCCAGCAGCCGCGGUAAUUC